rnacentral:rRNA from 1 species
GAACUGAAGAGUUUGAUCAUGGCUCAGAUUGAACGCUGGCGGCAGGCCUAACACAUGCAAGUCGAGCGGUAGAGAGGUGCUUGCACCUCUUGAGAGCGGCGGACGGGUGAGUAAUGCCUAGGAAUCUGCCUGGUAGUGGGGGAUAACGCUCGGAAACGGACGCUAAUACCGCAUACGUCCUACGGGAGAAAGCAGGGGACCUUCGGGCCUUGCGCUAUCAGAUGAGCCUAGGUCGGAUUAGCUAGUUGGUGAGGUAAUGGCUCACCAAGGCGACGAUCCGUAACUGGUCUGAGAGGAUGAUCAGUCACACUGGAACUGAGACACGGUCCAGACUCCUACGGGAGGCAGCAGUGGGGAAUAUUGGACAAUGGGCG